UAUCCCCGGGGAGUCUCGAUCUCCCGACCUUUCGCGUGUGAGGCGAAUGUGAUAGCCAACUACACCACAGAGAC
rnacentral:tRNA from 1 species